rnacentral:rRNA from 1 species
AGUGAACGCUGGCGGCAGGCCUAACACAUGCAAGUCGAACGGCAGCACGGCAGUAGCAAUACUGUGGGUGGCGAGUGGCGGACGGGUGAGGAAUACAUCGGGAUCUACCCUGUUGUGGGGGAUAACGUAGGGAAACUUACGCUAAUACCGCAUAAGAACUGAGGUUGAAAGCGGCGGACCGCAAGGCGUCGCGCGAUUGGAUGAACCGAUGUCCGAUUAGCUAGUUGGCGGGGUAAAGGCCCACCAAGGCGACGAUCGGUAGCUGGUCUGAGAGGACGACCAGCCACACUGGAACUGAGACACGGUCUAGACUCCUACGGGAGGCAGCAGUGGGGAAUAUUGGACAAUGGGGCGAAAGCCUGAUCCAGCCAUGCCGCGUGAGUGAAGAAGGCCUUCGGGUUGUUAAGACGUCUUUCAGGUGGAAGAAAACGACGAUAGGUUAAUACCUUGUGUCGGAGUGACGGUACCAUCAGAAGAAGACACCGGCUAACUACGU